UACGUAGGGUGCAAGCGUUGUCCGGAAUCAUUGGGCGUAAAGAGCGUGUAGGCGGCCCGGUAAGUCCGCUGUGAAAGUCGGGGGCUCAACCCUCGAAAGCCGGUGGAUACUGUCGGGCUAGAGUGCGGAAGAGGCGAGUGGAAUUCCUGGUGUAGCGGUGAAAUGCGCAGAUAUCAGGAGGAACACCGAUUGCGAAGGCAGCUCGCUGGGACGUAACUGACGCUGAGGAGCGAAAGCGUGGGGAGCGAACAGG
rnacentral:rRNA from 1 species